rnacentral:rRNA from 1 species
UACAGAGGGUGCAAGCGUUAGUCGGAAUUACUGGGCGUAAAGCGCUCGUAGGUGGGUAUCUAAGUCGGAUGUGAAAUCCCCGGGCUUAACCUGGGAACUGCAUUCGAGACUGGAUGCCUAGAGUAUGGUAGAGGAAAGUGGAAUUCCCGGUGUAGCGGUGAAGUGCGUAGAUAUCGGGAAAAACACCAGUGGCGAAGGCGGCUUUCUGGACCAAUACUGACACUGAGGAGCGAAAGCGUGGGGAGCAAAC